rnacentral:misc_RNA from 1 species
GUGAAUCAUCGAAUCUUUGAACGCACAUUGCGCCCUGUAGUAUUCUACAGGGCAUGCCUGUUCGAGCGUCAUUUCAACCCUUGGACCCAGUCCAGUGUUGGGGCCUUGCGCUGCAAGCCCUGAAAAACAGUGGCGGGCGCACUGCAUCCCGAGCGUAGUAACUCUUCUCGCUAUGGGCAUCCAGUGCUGUCCCUGCCGUAAAACCCCUACUGUCAAAAGGUUGACCUCGGAUCAGGUAGGAAUACCCGCUGAACUUAAGCAUAUCAAUAAGCGGAGGA